rnacentral:rRNA from 1 species
GUGCCAGCCGCCGCGGUAAUACCGGCAGCUCAAGUGAUGUCCCAUAUUAUUGGGCCUAAAGCGUCCGUAGCUGGGUCUGAAAGUCCAUCGGGAAAUCCACUCGCUCAACGAGUGGCCGUCCGGUGGAAACUCCACACCUUGGGACCGGAAGGCUCGAAGGGUACGGCCGGGGUAGGAGUGAAAUCCUGUAAUCCCGUCCGGACCACCGAUGGCGAAAGCACUUCGAGAAAACGGAUCCGACAGUGAGGGACGAAAGCUAAGAUCGCGAACCGGAUUAGAAACCCGUGUAGUCC